CUUUACAGUAGAGUCUCAAAGACUGUUGGGGGGUAGACGCCGCCCCUUGUUUCGAGACAUUCGGGCCAUGGUUAGUGGCGACGUUGCCUUCCAGGCCAAGCAUGCUUAUAAAAAGGCUAAUGGGUCCGCAAAAUGGAUAGUCUCGUAUAUGAUCGGUCAUUCCACUAGAGGAGAGCCUGUGGGUUGGAGAGAGAGAGAGUUAUCAGAAGUGCUUCGAAAUAUUAUGUUUUUAAUUUUUUUUUGAAUGCAUUCAUACAAAAAAAUGUAUAAAUCAUCCCUUGCAGCCAAAAAAAAAAAAAGAGAAGAAGAAGAAGAGAGAGAGAGAUAAAAAUCCAACCUUUUUCGUUACCCGUAUCAUAUUUUCACAAUAAUCAAACAGCAAAGGAUGCCCAUACUCUUCGAACAACCAAGUCUUUUUGAUUUCUUUUGAACUAUCCACACUAUAUAACAUCACAAUAGUCACAGAAUACAUGUUUAAAAAUCCAAACUUUUUAUUACCGACAUCCCAUAUAUUCACAAUAAUCUCAG
rnacentral:lncRNA from 1 species